GCUGUGGGUUCUGAACACCACUUCCUCCUACUAAAUCAGCCUGCCCGUUUGCUCUGCAAUCUUCCCAUUAUUCAAUCACAUCUCCUGACAAGAGCUGGCAGCAUGCUGCUCCUGCCCCAGGUCUUGGUGGUGGCCUCCCUCUGGACAUACACAAGUGGAGAUAUUCCAAUAACACAACGCAUAACAUCAAUUACCAAGAAAAAAGGAAAUACGGCAUUUCUUGAAUGCCAAAUAAAAAUAGAUAAGUUAAAGAAGAAUGUAUACAUGCACUGGUACCGACAGAAACCAGAGCAGCCUCUAAAACGAGUUCUGUAUAUUUCCUCCAAUGAGAAUGUUGUUCACGAACAAGGGAUUAGUGAGGAAAGAUAUGAAGCAAGGAAAUGGCCGAGUAACUCACUGGUGAGCCUCAGGAUACACCAGGCUACUGAAGAGGAUGCGGGGCUCUACUAUUGCGCCUGCUGGGUGGAACACACGUUGCAUAAGAGAUCCGCUGUCAUUGAACAAAAACCGCCCUCAGGCCAACAUGUUGCAGAAGAGAUCCGCUGUCUGAACGAAAACCACCCUCACACCAAGGAGUCUGGGCAAAAGCACCCUACCCCCUCGACCCCCACCACCGCUGCCCCUGCUGCCCCGGCUUUCUGCCUCCUAUAAAGGGCUCUUUUCCUGCACAUGCGCCCUGAGCAGUGUCUGAGCAACUAGUCCAGGACCUGAUCUGUGAGGCUUUUUUUUCAGUUAGAUCACUUUAUUCUCCAUCCUAAACUCUUGGUCAUAGGCUGGCUUUUUAAAUUACCCCACAUGGUCACAGCUUCAUCAUGUAUGGGGGCCUCUUGGGAAGGAAGCCAUAAACCAGUGCUCAACAUGAUGUGUCGGCUUGGAAAGAAAGAAAGAAUGAAUGAAUGAGUGGCGGAAAAGACAAGGUCUUUUUAGUGACAUAGGACUGGAUUUCUAAGUCCUGCUCAGCCAUUCCCUGACAGGGUGACCUAGGCAAGUUACUGAAUCAUUUAUUUCUGUUUUCUCAUUUUAUUUUUAGUCUAUUUAUUUUAGAUUUUUAUUUGGGGUACAGUUGAUAUACUUUGUUAUGUUUCUGCUGUACAGUAAAGUGAAUCAGUUACACAUAUACAUAUAUCCACUCUUUUUUAAAAGAUUCUUUUCCCAUAUGGGCCAUUACAGAGUGUUGAGGAUAGUUCCCUGUGCUUGACAGUACAUUUUUAUUAGUUAUCUAUUUUAUGUAUAGUACUGUGUGUAUGUCAAUCCAAAUCUCCCAAUUUAUUCCUUCCCUUCUUAUCCCCUGGUAACCAUAAGUUUGUUUUCUACAUCCCUUGACUCUACUUCUGAUUUGUAACUAGGUUCCUUUAUACCUCUUUUUUUAAGAUUUCACAUACAGGCAAUAUCAAAUGAUAUUUGUCUUUCUGUGUCUGAUUUACCUCACUCUGUGUGGAAAUCUCUAGGUCCAUGGUUUCCCAAUUUUCAGAGGGCAUGGUGCUAACAACCACAUAGGUUGCUGAAGACUGAAUGAGGUUCACACAGGAAUGUUUCAGCACAGUGUUCAACAAAUCACAGUGUCCUAACCUGCCUAGACUAAAUCAAUUCAGAGUCAUCACAGCGAAAAUAGGAACUCAG
ensembl:lncRNA